UGUAGUGUCUGUAGUCCAGGUGAUGUUGGUUACAAAAUAUUUGCGUCGCCUGAAAGUAAAUAAAUAAUAGCUCGAAAUAACCGUCGUUAGAAGCAGAAUAAUAUUGCGUGACAUUUAUUAUCAAUUACAUAAUAAGGUUGCACUCCUGAGUUUGAUUCACCGGCACUAGAAAUGGACCGAAAAAACAUGCUGAAACUACUGAUUGGAACCGUGGUAACGUUGCACAUAAGCUUUUACUUUAUCAAACCUUUAAUCCUACCCCAAGCCCAAAAUCGAGCAGAAAAUAAUUCUGAAACUAGACCUGACUACUGGAAACCGUAAGUUUUCUUACAUACCUGUAUUUCAAUUUAAAAUAAAAACAAAUAUAUUCCUAAAGGAAACUGUGAUAACUAGCAAAACCAUUAAUAGAACAAUGCUUCUUGAUAAGCGGUAGGUUAUAUAUUCA